AUUGAACGCUGGCGGCAUGCUUUACACAUGCAAGUCGAACGGCAGCACGGACUUCGGUCUGGUGGCGAGUGGCGAACGGGUGAGUAAUACAUCGGAACGUGCCCAGUUGUGGGGGAUAACUACUCGAAAGAGUAGCUAAUACCGCAUGAGAACUGAGGUUGAAAGCAGGGGAUCGUAAGACCUUGCGCAACUGGAGCGGCCGAUGGCAGAUUAGGUAGUUAGUGGGAUAAAAGCUUACCAAGCCGACGAUCUGUAGCUGGUCUGAGAGGACGACCAGCCACACUGGGACUGAGACACGGCCCAGACUCCUACGGGAGGCAGCAGUGGGGAAUUUUGGACAAUGGGCGAAAGCCUGAUCCAGCAAUGCCGCGUGCAGGAUGGAGGCCUUCGGGUUGUAAACUGCUUUUGUACGGAACGAAAAGCUUCGGGUUAAUACCCUGGAGUCAUGACGGUACCGUAAGAAUAAGCACCGGCUAACUACGUGCCAGCCGCCGCCGUAA
rnacentral:rRNA from 1 species